GUUUCACUCCUGCCUCAGGCCUCAGCCACCACAGUAAGUGGAACUCUAUACCUCCACCUCGCCUGGCUGGGUGGAGCCUCUAAACUCAGGAUUCUGCCUUGAGCUGUGGCUCUCCCCUCAGGUUGACAGGGUCCAGAGCAAAACCUACGGAAGAAGCUGCAGAGGCCAGGUGGAGGGAAGGAUGCUGAACUGGAGGAGGCCAGGAAAUUAUGAGGUACACCAAUCAAACAUAGUGUGUCCAGAAUUUGUGGGUUCUUGGUCUCACUGACUUCAAGAACGAAGCUGCGGACCCUCACGGUGAUUCUAAGCACAUUAAAAUCUGGAUGACACUUAUCUGAAUCAUUUCGCAACUUGGAGAGAGAUGGAGAAGACACGCAUGGUGUAACUGGGCAUCACCAGAAUGUGCACUGCCAUCUGUGGCUGUCUUCCUGCUGGCAAAUCCUUUUCAUUCCAAGCAAAUAAGAUUCCCUAAAUUAGACAAAAAGGAAGAAACACAACAGAGUCCAUAAUUCUGAGAGGAAGAGAAGAGUGAUCAUCAGCAGCAAAAGGCAAUUGCAGAGAAGCACCACCAAGAGCCAGCUUCAUGCUCAGGAGUGAAUGCUGAGCCGCCUCCUCGUGGUUUCCGGUGCUCCACAUGUUCAGAGAAACUUCUCUGCUCAAAUGUUGCCUUUUCCAAAACCACCCAUGGGCCUGCCCCCUGACAUCCUGUGCCUAUAAAAACCCCAUACUCAGCUGGCAGAGAGAAGAGAAGCAGCUGGACGUUGGUGACUAUGGUUAGACAUUGGAGAGAAGCAGCUUCACUUCAGAGGGACAGCUUGACACGUAACAUCAGAGAAGAAUCUGGCCAGAGAUGGCUGGACUUCAGGAGAAGAUUACCUUCCCUCUCCAUCCCCUUUUCAACUUCCCUUCCUGCUGAGAGCCACUUUCAUCGGCAAUAAAAAUCCCCUACAUUUGUCAUCCUUCAA
ensembl:lncRNA novel transcript, antisense to C7orf33 and CNTNAP2